rnacentral:rRNA from 1 species
GAUCUAGCAGUGGGGAAUCUUAGACAGUGGGGGCAACCCUGAUCUAGCCAUGCCGCGUGAGUGACGAAGGCCUUAGGGUCGUAAAGCUCUUUCGCUGGGGAAGAUAAUGACGGUACCCAGUAAAGAAACCCCGGCUAACUCCGUGCCAGCAGCCGCGGUAGUACGGAGGGGGUUAGCGUUGUUCGGAAUUACUGGGCGUAAAGCGCGCGUAGGCGGAUUGGAAAGUUGGGGGUGAAAUCCCGGGGCUCAACCCCGGAACUGCCUCCAAAACUAUCAGUCUAGAGUUCGAGAGAGGUGAGUGGAAUUCCGAGUGUAGAGGUGAAAUUCGUAGAUAUUCGGAGGAACACCAGUGGCGAAGGCGGCA